GUUUCGUACUGCGCUUUUAACGCUCGCGGUGGAUAGUUUUCUCUUCUAAAAGAGAAGGGGCAGCAAUGAAUGAAAAUCAGAAGCCAGAUGAGAAGAAGCCAGUAAAAAAUGCAGUUGAUUUACAGAAACUCAGGCUUGACAAGCUUUUCAAGAACAUUGACCGGCCAGUGCAUCUGCCAGAGGCGUCCAAGUCGCGCACUUUCUCGGCGGCGCCCGAGUUUGUGCGCAACGUGAUGGGCUCGAGCGCUGGCGCCGGCAGCGGCGAGUUCCACGUGUACCGGCAUAUCCGGCGGCGAGAGAACGCCCGCCAGAAGUUCAUCGCCGAGGAGGCCG
rnacentral:lncRNA from 1 species